GGCAGAAAGACACUCGUUUCGGAACUCCGACUGCAGCGAAUAUGCCUGAACAAGUGAAAGCAUCGAAGAAGGGCUCCAAGAAGGCCGUCUCUAAGGCGACCAAGAGCGGCAAGAAGAGAAAGAGGACCAGGAAGGAGAGCUAUGCUAUCUACGUCUACAAGGUCCUGAAGCAGGUCCACCCCGACACCGGCAUCUCCUCCAAGGCUAUGGGUAUCAUGAACUCCUUUGUCGGUGAUAUCUUUGAGCGCAUCGCCGGUGAGGCCUCUCGUCUGGCUCACUACAACAAGCGUUCCACCAUCACCUCCAGGGAGAUUCAGACCGCUGUCCGUCUGCUGUUGCCCGGAGAGCUGGCUAAGCACGCCGUGUCCGAGGGUACCAAGGCCGUGACCAAGUAUACUAGCUCCAAGUAAACCUGCUGAGGCGAAACUAAAAUCCAAAGG